rnacentral:rRNA from 1 species
AAGCAUUAAUUGUGGACCAACGAACAGCUCAGUAACACAGUUAUAAUUUACUCGUAGAUCAAAGGAUAACCAUGGUAAGCUAUGGUUAAAACAAGAAUUAGUGGUUUUCUAAUAGGAAACAACAAAGAAAAACUCUACGACUAAGUUUCUGGCCUAUUAGCUAGUAGGUAGUGUAAGGGACUACCUAGGCUGUGAUGGGUAACGGGAAAUGAUCGUUUGAUACCGGAGAGGGAGCCUGAGAAAUAGCUCCCACGUCUAAGGAUGGCAGCAGGCGCGAAAAUUACCCAAUGCAAGUAGUGAGGUAGUUAAGAGGCGUGCAAUUUGCACAAGUUAACAGUAAAGAAGUUAACGGAAACUGGAGGGCAAGUCUGGUGCCAGCAGCCGCGGUAAUUCCAGCUCCAGAAGCGCAUAUGACCGUUGCUGCAGUUAAAAAGUUCGUAGUUUGAGCACAUGCUUGCGAGUAAAAUACAUUACUUAAAGAUGUAAUUAGCGCAACUAGUGUCUAGAUAGGAACAGGAGAAGGUGGUUGUAUUGGGUAGCGAAAGGUGAAAAUUGCAGACCUACUCAGGACAAACAGAAGCGAAAGCGGCCAUCUAGAAUGUAUCCGUUAAUCAAGAACGUAAGCUGGAGUAUCGAAAAAGAUUAGACACCUUUGUAGUUCCAGCUGUAAACUAUGCCGACUAGGUGAGAGAAAUAUUCUUGUGCCUUAGGAGAAAUCAAGAGUUUGUGGGCUCUGGGGAUAGUACGAUCGCAAGAUUGAAACUUAAAGAAAUUGACGGAAGGACACCACAAGGAGUGGAGUGUGCGGCUUAAUUUGACUCAACACGCGAAAACUUACCAAGACCAAAUCGGAAGAGAAAGUCAUAACAGAGUUAUUACUUGAUACCGACAAAAGUAGUGCAUGGCCGUUUUCAACACGUGGUGUGAACUUAUGGUUAAUUCCAUCAACGCGUGAGGCCUCUUAAACGGAUAGCGUCAAGCUAUAGGAAGUGAGGCUAUAACAGGUCAGUGAUGCUCUUAGAUGUUUUGGGCUGCACGCGCACUACAAUUGCGACACGAAGGGAACCGAAAGGUUUUAUAUAAAGGUCGAUAUUAGCAGGGAUAAACCGUUGUAAAUCGGUUUUGAACAAGG